rnacentral:lncRNA from 1 species
AAAUAAUAUCUUUUUCCUAUGGUGUCAAAUGAAGAUACUUUUUAUAUCUUUUUAUUUGAAGUUUUUAAGAUGUUCGAUAACAUAGUAUAAAGCUUCAACAACAUAUUAAUCUUGCGCCGGAACUUGUCGGUUCAAGAAAAUUAUAUAUUUUUUUUGAAAGUUGUCAAAUGAAAAUACUUUGUAUAUCAAAAUUAUGUCUAUCGUUUAUGCAGAGUUUCUUUUCCCUUGACCGUGCCUUUUUAUUUCUGGAGCUAACCACACUAUCUGUCCAUAAAUUGAUUGUUUAAAAAGGGGGACAAUUUUGCGUUAAAGAAUUUAAUAAGUUCGACCAAGACCCUACUUCCAUCUAUCCAUAUGGAUGACCUUGUCGAUGGACAAUUCUUCUGUUAGCACUUAAAUUUAGCUUGGAUCAUAUUUUAGGUGAACACCGAAUAGCCAAAUUUGACACAUUAAAUUAUUAUGUGGUUGAUUAAUCCGGAUGUUAUCUAUAUCAUCAAUGUUCUCCGGUCGAUUAUUUGGGUGAACUGGUGAUGAAGACAUGCUGCUACAGCAACGUAUGUAUUGAAAUCGGCUUGUAUGACAUAUCUUCACGGUGAAGCCAAAGCAAGGAUUAAGAUAACGUCUCCAGUUCAUCACAUGUCACUAGUUUUGUUGGGCGCUGGCUGAUGCCUGAUGGUGUUCAUAUACAUGAUAGAAAAGGAAGCAAGCAGGCAACAGACAAUUAACUAGCUAGGGUCGUUUAUGCAUCCAAAUUUUUUCACUAACUAAACAAGGAUGCAAGGAUAUGCAGCAGCCACCGGGCAGCGCCGUCUCCCCGGCAAUGGCAGCCACCUUGAUUUCCUUGGUUGGAGUUUUUUUUUCUUCUUUUUUUGGAACUCACCUGGGUACUGUGGUCUACUGGUCUUUGCAUGUCGGAGGAUGAAUGCAAUGUUGCUAGGUGGUUAACGGAAAGGGUCCUCUAGCCCAAUCAAUGAAAAUCCUUCGUGAGAUGAAGAAUGAUAAGAAUAAGGAGAAUGAAUGUGAUAUUGCUAGGCGGAAGGGUCCUAGUCCAAUCAAUGAAAAAUCUUCGUUGGAUGGUAAGAACGACUAGACGAGGAACGACGACAGGUAAAUACUGAUUAACACACCUCGGUAAAAUCCUGAUAGAAUUGUUUCUAUUUGAAUUUUUGUGGCACUUGUCAGCACGCUUGUGCCUACAAGAUACUCUAUAAACAUUAAGCACACCGUAAGAUAGUCCCUCUGAAAUACGAGGCAUACAAGCAUUUAAACUUUAUUCUAAAUAAAAUUUAAGAAAUUAGUAUAUGUGGAACUAACCAUUAAUUCAGUUUUAAAAUAUAGUAUAUUCACAUGUAUAUGUCUAUCAAUCAUCUAAAUAUAGUAAUCGCAAUAUAUUUUAAUGAUUAAGGAAAUAUUGCAUAUAUAUGACAUUUGCUUUACCUCAUAAGAUGUUUUAGAAUUCUUAUUAGGAUAAUAUGUUUCUUUCAAGACACGACAAAUGGAGUAACAUUUAAGAUCACCAGUUUGAAAGACAAUUGUUUGUAAAGUUUUCUCAUAGCUAUCAGUCAUAGGGUGUUGCUAGGUGAAAUAGUCCACUCUGAUAUGAAAAUAUGACAAUAACAUUUAGUGCUAAUGAGCAUGGUACAUAAAUACAGGUUACCGCGUAGUGCUGUGUCCCAGCAAUGGCACCCACCUUAAAUUCCUUGACUGGAGAUUUUUUUUUUUCUUAUCUUCUUUUGGAACUCGGCUAGGGUACUAUUGUCAACUGGUCUUUAUCGAAGGAUGAAUGCGAUGUUGCUAGGCGGAAGGGUCCUAGCACAAUCAAUGAAAAUCCUUCGUGGGAUGAAGAAUGAUAAGAACAAGGAGGAUGAAUGUGAUGUUGCUAGGCGGAAUGCCAAACAAUGAAAAAUCUUUGUUGGAUCAUAAGAACAACUAGACGAGGAACGAUGGCAAGUAAAUUCACACCUUGGUAAGUUCUGGUAAAAUUGUUUAUGUUGUGGCACUCGCUAGGGCACUUGCCUACGGUACAAGAUACUCUAUAAACAUUAAGCACACCGUAAAGAUAAUCCCUCUGAAAUACAUGGUAUACAAGCAUUUAAAAUUUAUUAUAAAUAAAUUAUAAGAAAUUAGUACAUGUGAACUAACCAUUAAUUCAUUUUUAAAAUAUAGUAUAUUCACAUGUAGACCAUUAAUGUCUAUCAAUCAUCUAAAUAUAGUAAUCACAAUCUAUUUUAAUGAUUAAGGAAAUAUUACGUACGGCAUUUGCUUUACCUCAUAAGAUGUUUUAGAAUUCUUAGGAUAUGUUUAUUUCAGGACAGUUCAAAUGGAGUAACAUUUAAGAUCACCAGUUUGAAAGAUAAUUGUUUGUAAAGUUUUCUCCUAGCUAUCAGCCUCCUAUGUAAUAGGGUGUUGCUAGGUGAAAUGGUCAGGUCAUCCGCAAUGGUUAUCAAAUAACUAGCUAGGAGAAAUUCUAUUGGCUCUCAAUAGCACUUUACAAAUAGCUAGCGAGAUGAUGUAUAAAAAUAAUAAAAAAGUAGCACUAUCAUUGGCUAUCAAGGAGAGAGAUCAAAUAGCUAGCGACUUCCUAAUACCUAGCGAGCAUCUCCAAGAGCUUUUUUAAAUCUCACUCUAAAUCAUUAUUUGGAGAGUCAUUUGCAUAAAAAUUGCUUUCUAUAUUUUUUUUUACUUUCCAACAGUUUUGUUAAAUCUCAUGCGCACUCUAGAAAGUCAUUCUCGUCUUCUAUAUUUGACUAGCGAGAAACCCGGAAUAGACAAUGACUAUAUUUGAAUGAUCAUUUAGAGAAGUUGUUGGAGGGUAGUUUUUCAUCAAAAUUGCUAUUCCUAGCAUUUAGGAAAAAUAUACAAAGUCUCUUGGAGAUGCUCUAAAUAGCUAAUCUAGCACGAUCUUCUAUAAAUAACUCUCUCACAAUACUCUCUACAAUAGCUAGCAACUUUCUAAUAGCUAGCGACUUCCUAAGCUAGCUAUUUGUAAAUUGUCAUUGAGAGCCAAUAACAUCCUUUCUAGAGAUCAAAUAGUUAGCGAUUUGAAUAUCAUUGUGGACGACCUCACUCUGAUAUGUACCAAUGAACAUGAUAGAUAAAUAUAGGUUACCGUGCAAAGCUGUCUCCCCAGCAAUGGCACCCACCUUAAUUUCCUUAGCUAGAGAUUUUUUUUCUUUUUUUUAAUUUUCCUUGGUCAUAGAUUUUUUUUCCUUUUUUGGAAGACGGCCUGAAAACUGUUGUCUACUUGUCUUUAUCGGAGGAUGAAUGUGAUGUUGCUAGCAAAAGGGUCCUAGUCCCAUCAAUGAAAAUUCUUAGUGGGAUGAUAAGAACAAGAUCAGGGACGGCAGGUAAACAUUGAUCAUCACACCUCUAUAAAUUCUAAUACAAUUGUUUCCAUUUGAAUUUCUGUGCCACUCGUCAGCGUUAAGAUAGUACAAGGUAUACAAGCAUUUUAAAUUUAUUCUAAAUUAUAAGAAAUUACAUGUGAAGUAACCACUAACUCAGUUUAAAAAUAUAAUCAUUGUCUAUCAAUCAUCUGAAUGUAGUAAUCACGUGAACCAGCGUAGCGGGCGCACCUGGUCAUGCUAGUACUAAUAUGUUUUAUAAUGCUUAUUAUGAUUUUUUGUAUUUCAGAAUAGGACAUAAGGAGUAACAACUAAGAUCACCAGUUUUGUCGAUGUUUGGACUUGUGGUUCUACCACCAACUAGUGAAUUUGUGUCUGCGUGCCCAGAAUUCGGAUGAUGAUGCAAGAAGAACAUAAGUGAUUUAUAUUGAUUUGGGCCGAGAAUGCCCUACGUCCAAUGGAAGAUGGCGAUCUUGUAUUAUCUUGCGCCGGAGUACUUGUAGUAGGGGAUACAAGCUAGGUGUGAGAGAUGGAACAUGUCCUAGGUCUCGGCGCCAUGAGCGAGGAGUGUCUGAGUGCGGAGUGUUUGGGUUCUAACUUCUUGCCUAGAAUGGGACCCUGCCUCCUCCUUUUAUAGUUGACAAGGGGAGACAAGAAAUACAUGUGUACGAGUCGUAGUGCUACAGUCUGAUCCGAGGCUGCACCGAGGUAUGGCGUUUUACGACAUUGGAAUGACCCCCAUUCUUGGCGCUGUAGCUGGUUGUGGUCACCGUAUAAGGUAUGUCCGUCUCUGUGGCGGUCGUGUCGAGCCAUGCCUCAUGCCUGCACUGUGGGAUGGGAUGUCCGUACAUGUAGCAGUCGUGCCGACCCUUGUUCGUUGAUUGGCGUAGAGUCCUAAGACCUCCUUGGUCGUGGACCAUGCUGUGUCUUCUGACGAGCACGUGGCCACAGGAGCUAGGAUUGACGUUUAAGCGUCUCCUUUGGUCUUGGUCGUACGCAUAGUGAUGGGAGCAGGUGGCACAGUGACAGAAGUAGAUAGCACAGUGAUCGUCAUACUAUGCUCUGCGCGGCGUGGGCAUGGGUGUGGGGAUUUAACUCAGGUCCUAUCCUGCCGUACCGUGGCUCCAUGGCGGAUGAUGUCAUAUGCGGUCUCGAGCACACUAAUGGGGGAAGGACGCCGAGCCCUAGGGUCGGGCGAGGCGGAGGGAGUGGGCUGGUCUCGGCUCCACCUUAGGCCUUGUCGUCAGGUCUCACGCGAGACAUAGAAUGGUUAUUUGGU